rnacentral:rRNA from 1 species
UGGGGAAUAUUGCACAAUGGGCGCAAGCCUGAUGCAGCCAUGCCGCGUGUGUGAAGAAGGCCUUCGGGUUGUAAAGCACUUUCAGCGAGGAGGAAGGUGGUGAGCUUAAUACGCUCAUCAAUUGACGUUACUCGCAGAAGAAGCACCGGCUAACUCCGUGCCAGCAGCCGCGGUAAUACGGAGGGUGCAAGCGUUAAUCGGAAUUACUGGGCGUAAAGCGCACGCAGGCGGUUUGUUAAGUCAGAUGUGAAAUCCCCGGGCUCAACCUGGGAACUGCAUUUGAAACUGGCAAGCUAGAGUCUCGUAGAGGGGGGUAGAAUUCCAGGUGUAGCGGUGAAAUGCGUAGAGAUCUGGAGGAAUACCGGUGGCGAAGGCGGCCCCCUGGACGAAGACUGGCGCUCAGGUGCGAAAGCGUGGGGAGCAAAACAGGAUUAGAUACCCUGGUAGUCCACGCUGUAAAACGAUGUCGAUUUUGGAGGUUGUGCCCUUGAGGCGUGGCUUCCGGAGCUAACGCGUUAAAUCGACCGCCUGGGGAGUACGGCCGCAAGGUUAAAACUCAAAUGAAUUGAC